AAAUAGUAAUAAUAAAAUUUUGAAAAAAAAAACAAAAAACGAAAACAAAUUACAUUUUAGCCCCCGAACUGUUUAAAAAUUACAUUUUGACCCCUAUUUUUUAAAAAUUUACAUCUUAACCCCUAAUAAUUUGUAAAUUACAUUUGGGCCCCUAAACUUUCUAAAAAUUACUUUUUGGCCCCAUAUUUUCCUAAAAUUGCACUUUUACCCCAGAAAUUUCGCACCUUCUGCAGUUUGGUCCUUUUGGACUUGUCAAAUCGUCGCAACCAGCAGGCCAGCUCCAGCAGCCUCCCUAGGCCAUGAUUGCUCCACUGCCACCUGAAAAUAAAGAAGAAGAAGACAAAAUUGAAGGAUUUAAAAGAAGGAAAAAAGAGAAGAAAGGGGGAGAUUUGAGCAGCCAAGAAAAAAACAAAAAUUUUAAGCAAAAACAGCAGCAAAAAAAAGGGCCACCGCCACCAUCGAUCUCGCACCGCCGCACCACCGCUGCAUCACUACCAUCCCAACACCCAACAAAGCAACUAGGAAGUAAAAAAAGAAAAAAAUAGCAAGGAAAAAAAGAAAAAACAAAGGAAAAAAGAAAAGAAAAGGGAGAAGGAGGAGCACCACCGUGGCCGUCACACCGCCAGGCAGCAAGGCGUCGUCGGCGAAAGCAAUGAAAGGGGGCUGAACGGGAAAGAAAGAAAGAAAGAAAAAGAGAAAAAAGAAAGAAGAAGGAAGAAAAAAAAGGAGCAAAAAAAACUAAUAGUCCGGUCAAACCGACCCGACCUGGAAGCCGACCUGACCCGAUCCACAACAGACCCGCACCAGCAGCCCUAGGCCCGAAAAAAAAAAGCAAAACCCCAAAAAAAUAAAGUAAAAAAAAAGAAGCAGCAGAAAUUAAUAGCAGGCCUUUUUAACAGGCCCAACAUCAGCCCAAACCCGCUAGCCCCAGCGCAGCCCAAACCAGCAGCAACAUCGGCCCAGUCCAUUGGCAGCCCAAUAAGCAGCAGCCCAACAGCAAAAAAAAGAAAGGCCCA
rnacentral:lncRNA from 1 species